CCUACGGGCGGCAGCAGUGAGGAAUAUUGGUCAAUGGGAGAGAUCCUGAACCAGCCAAGCCGCGUGAGGGAAGACGGCCCUAUGGGUUGUAAACCUCUUUUGUCAGGGAACAAAGUCGGGGACGUGUCCCCUUCUGAGUGUACCUUAAGAAAAAGCAUCGGCUAACUCCGUGCCAGCAGCCGCGGUAAUACGGAGGAUGCGAGCGUUAUCCGGAUUUAUUGGGUUUAAAGGGUGCGCGGGCGGGCUUUUAAGUCAGCGGUCAAAGCCCGGGGCUCAACCCCGGCCCGCCGUUGAAACUGGCAGUCUCGAGUUGGAGAGAAGUAUGCGGAAUGCGCGGUGUAGCGGUGAAAUGCAUAGAUAUCGCGCAGAACUCCGAUUGUGAAGGCAGCAUGCCGGAUCCACACUGACGCUGAGGCACGAAAGCGUGGGUAUCGAACAGGAUUAGAUACCCCGGUAGUC
rnacentral:rRNA from 1 species